GCAGGGCCCCUCCCCCGCUGUGUCCCCCCGUCCCCCGAUGGAGCCCGGCCAGCUGGGCCGGGUCCUGUCCGACCUGCUGCAGCCGGACAACGCCCUGAUCAGCAGGCCACGGUCCCAGCUGCGUGAGGCCUUCAGACUACCCCGAGGGUGCUGCCCCAGCUUGCCACGCGACUGACAGGGCGCCCCCAGACCCCCAAGGUGAACCGGCAGCUGGCAGCGUGGCUCUUGCGCCGGCGUCUCACCAUACACUGGCGGAAGCUGAACCCGAGGAGGCAGG